GCUCUAAUGCUUUGCUAGAUAACGGAUCCUGUGAUUAAACGGCAGUUUGUCACUUUUUACUGUAAAACUGUAAACUUAUUAUGAUAAUUUUGACCUGAGAUCGCGUGUUAUAGACUUUACAUGAUUCAAACAUCUCUUUCUUCGUCGCUCCGGUCCGUGAAGAAGCUGAUCUGGUGUCAGUGCAGGAGCUGCUGCUGACCUGAGACCUCUGCAGGAAUCCCAGCCAGCUUCUCACAGACGAUGUAGUCGUCCGGGUUGAUGAAGGGCAGCUGCUCCAUCAUGCACUGCUUGGGGAUGAGGACCACCAUGUCGCUGCUGUUGCCGGAGCCGCACAGUUUCCCCAGGCUGUUGAGGUUCAGGAGGCUGGAGCGGUUCAUGAUUCCAACCGGACGGACCACGUCUGAAACCAGGCAGCUGCUCUCUGACUCCUUAUCAUUUGGAAGCAGAUGGAGAAACAGCUGAAGGAGAAACUCCUUAGAGUCUAUAUUUAUCUGGACAGUUUGGUAUUUUAAGGAGUCUGAAUGCUUGGAAGAGGUGACAGCUUGAUGUCUGUGAAACGACAUAAUGAAGAUACUGACUGAAAUGAAAAUGAGCGAAGAGCUCCCCCUGCUGGUCUGGAUGAACACAACAUCACAACUAGCGAGUGUAAACCAGAAGAUUUCUGAAUAAAACUGUUUUACAAAGGGGAGGUGGGCAGACUUUUGUGAAAAUAAUUUCUUCUUUUUAUAUUUAUUUAUUUAGUUUUACUUUUUUU